GGAGGGGUUCCCGAGUGGCCAAAGGGAAGCCGACUGUAAAUCUGCCGGCACUGCCUUCGAUGGUUCGAAUCCGUCUCCCUCCACCA
rnacentral:tRNA from 1 species